UAAUUUAGCUUUUGAAAAGAUUUACUGACUACCAGUGGUCGUUUUUCUAGCAUUAGCCCCAUUUUUGAAGUUGCGGGGUCUUUUGGUCAUUGGAUUAUGAACCACCGGUACACUCUCACAUAUUCGGAGAAGGAAACUAAGUUUUUGACCUGAUGGCUAACUACGCCAGUUAUAACAUAGAAGUAGCAUAUCCCCAUUCUCUUGUAUUUUGGUAAUUUGGUUAAAGAUCUCCCUGGGUCUAAGUUCCUAAGGAAAUCUGUAUGUAAUGAUUAUCUUCACCGCUUAAACUUGCAUUCACUUGUAACGCCGAUAAACAAACUUGUAACUUUCCUAUUUGAACGCUCAUACUAGAUAAAUUGGUAAUUAUAAAUGUCUCCAUCAACGCGUGAUCCUGCGUGAUCCUCCACUGCGCUGACAAAGACGAAAUGUCAAAUUUUAAGGACAAUUCUCAUAAGCUAUUGUCACUUAAAUGCCUUUCUAAAAAUCCUCCUCCAUUACUUCUCCCCCAUAAUCGUCUCCGCACUUACGCCACUGUCACACCUCCUUUUUUACACACCUACCCCGAAAGAAUAAUGUAUAAGAGAGUUUUUCCAUUUAAAGUGACAUUAUUCGGAUCGAGAUUAAUUAUUUGUUCAGAGUCGCCACUUGGGAAAGGUUUAGCAUUUGCUGUCCCAAGUCACUGGUUUAGCUUGAAUCCCAAUCCGAGGAAAAUGUUCGACUUCCCAAUUGGAGUCUGCGAACCAGAAAUUCUAAAUAAGGAAUUUUGUUGACCCGAGGGAAGGUGUUAGGCUCCCUCGGAUCCUGUGGUUCUAGCACGGUCGCUUAAAUUGCUAUGAAUGACUAAAAUUUGAUUUUAUUACAUGAAGAGCCUAUGUGCCAAUUUUUUACUUUUUACCGCUUUUAUUCAACACAAUAUUUAUUUGAGAAAGUGAACGUCGUUUAAAACGUGUUUUCGGCUUGCGCCGCAUCAAAUGAACCCGCAAUCCUAGGCACACUUUAUUCAACAUUUUAGGAUUUGGAUUUGGGUCGCAUAAAAUACUCACCCAUAUUUAGGAAUGUAAUUUAUUAAAGUUGUGCCUAAUAGAGCCUAACACAUUGUAAUCUUUUGGGAGGGCCGUGAAAUUCGCUAAACGGCGCUUUCCGAUAUUUCUAAAUAUUUUUAGCUUAUUGAGGGCCCCCUAAUAUUGUAUAUUUAUUGGGCGAGGCGAGGCUCAUUUUAUUUUAAAAAGAUAAACCUAAAAGAUAGCUGUAUUUUUUUACUUUUAGAAUUUUUGUCCCUAGAAAAGAAAGAUCUUAAAUGAUUACAUUUAAAAUCUGGGCCUUAAGUUCAAAUUCGGGUCCAAACAAAAGGACGAGCCUUUUAGUUUAAAACCCUUUACGUAACUCAAAAUCGAAUUUCAAAAAUCAAUUAAAACCUUUAAUUCGGACUCCUUGGAAAACAGGCUCAAACCAUGAGCCCAAGUACUUGCCUCAGGCAGCAGAACUUCGAAGCUGAGCCCCAAAAUUGGCCCAAUCUCAAAUUAAUGGGAGACAGGGGGAACGAAUACCCAACGAGCAUCUACUCAAGUCUAAUUUCCAAAACGAAGUGAGGGGCCUUGCUUCCCUAAUUACAUGCCUGGAAUUUUUAGGUAUCAAAUGGAUAACAAUAUUGGGCCUAACAUUAAACAACAAGCCCAAACAACAUGCCCAAUUAAACAGCUCGUGAUUUACAAACAAAGCAUAUUAACUAUUAUAGCCAAAUUCUAUAGAUUCUGGUACCUAAAUUAGCAUGGUAACAAUGUUAUAUUCUAAUGCUCAUAUGAAUCAAACAGUGUUUACUCAUGAAAUUCCUUGCCAUUUGGAUUUAACUACUUCGAAAUACAUCAUGAAGGCUUAAAAAAAUAUGAGAUUCAGAAUUAAACAACCACUAAGCUAUAGUUCAAUUCAAUAGUUACAUGUAGAAUUAGGAAAGCCAUAGAGUCAGUCAAGUUUCCACAGUUCAAAAUCUCGUUACUAUACAUAGAACUCCUAAGCUUAUGUUCUAUCAUAUUAGGAAAUUACAUAUAUCAUCCACCUAUAUUCAUAUAUGUAAUAAAACAAUUAACAUGUCUUCAAUCAGUAACUUUGAUUCCAUUUCAUUUCAAGCAGGGAAAAUUAUAUUGACACAAGCUCAACAUCACAGCAGGGAUACAUAACUGUGUGCCUGGAAUUCGAGAAAGCAAAGAAGAGUGAGGAUUCGACAGGCAAAAUAAUAAUACAGUCUUUCAACAUUGAAAUCUACCCAGCAAGAAUCAGAAGGAAAUUCACUUGAAAACCAAGCCACUUUAACAGCCCCCAAACAUCAGGAACACACCCCACACAAGCUCAAAUGAAACUCGAGAAUAAAUUAAAAUCUAUAGAUCUCAGAUACCAACAGAAAAAAAAUCAAUGAAACAACGGAAAUUCUUUUGUUGUUUUCUUUUCUUGUAUAUGUACUAUUUUUGUAUUUUUUAAUACUUGAAUGCAGAAAUUAAUUUGAAGCUAAAGGAGAAUUAGAUUUUUUUGGGAUUUUUUCAACUUUAAAGUUCAAGCCCCCUUUCCAAGGCAUCAAAUGCCCUUUUAUAGAGAAAAAUAGAGGCAACACUCAGAUUUUUUAUUUGCACCAUUAGUACCUACUUAUUUACUACUUUGGACCCUCAAUUAUUCUUUUUUUCGCUAUUUAGUCCUCCUAAUCUUGACUUGAAGCCCAAGUUUAUCCAUUCAAAGCCUGAAAUUGGCCCUUAGUCCCUGCUGGAAGCUUUCUCUUUCAGUUAAGAUUCCCGCACUUAAACUACCCAAAACACCCUUAAACACCCCUGAAAUUACUGACCUUCCCAACCUCGGUUAACCCCAAACCUGUUACCCCAGUUAAGACUAACUAAGGUUAUCUAAUAAGCUAUAACCAAUCUCACAAACAAAACAAACGACCCAAAAUAAAUCCAGAAGAACAGCAGCCAAAAUCAAAGAAAAGUUUCAAAUCAAUAUCUUAUUGAAACAAAUGAGAAGAUUAAGUAAGCUAACGACUAAUUAACGUUUGAGCAUUCGAACUAACAACGAAUCAAAAACCAAUCAGAAUUUAAACGAAAGACUAAGGACUGGCCUAAGACGAAUUAACUUAUCGAUUUUAACAAUCUAAAAGGUGAAAUCAGCUUUAAUUUAUGCUCGAUUGAACUAAACAAAACGACGAAUCAAAUGAAAACUAAAGAAAGAAAGCAUACAGAAUUCAGCCUUCGAAUCAAAACUCCGGCAUCUCCGAUUCGACCCGAGAUUGGUAUUGGUCGCAUGUUCUUCUAAACGAAUAAACAAUAUCGAUCUCAGGCCUAAUCGUUCCCUAAGGACUCGAAUAUACUGAGAGAUUUCUUCCCUUCAACUUCUGAUUAAAACUGGCCCGACUUGGUGGGGAGUUUAUGAGAAGUAGAGGUGGAUUUGGGCUCAGGAAUGAACGAUGGUGGCGUGGUUGAACUUUGAAGGCGGAUUGACCUUCUCGCUGGCCGGAAAUGGUGGAUUAGAGUUGAAAAACUUCUGGUGAUUGAGAGAAGAUGAAGAUGGAGAGGCUUUGGAACUGAAA
rnacentral:lncRNA from 1 species